rnacentral:rRNA from 1 species
GAUGAACGCUGGCGGCGUGCCUAAUACAUGCAAGUCGAGCGAACAGACGAGGAGCUUGCUCCUCUGACGUUAGCGGCGCACGGGUGAGUAACACAUGGAUAACCUCCCUAUAAUACUGGGAUAACUUCGGGAAACCGGCGCUAAUACCGGAUAAUAUAUUGAACCGCAUGGUUCAAUAGUGAAAGACGGUGUUGCUGUCACUUAUAGCUGGAUCCGCGCUGCAUUAGCUAGUUGGUGAGGUAACGGCUUACCAAGGCGACGAUGCGUAGACGACCUGAGAGGGUGAUCGGCCACACUGGAACUGAGACACGGUCCAGACUCCUACGGGAGGCAGCAGUAGGGAAUCUUCCGCAAUGGGCGAAAGCCUGACGGAGCAACGCCGCGUGAGUGAUGAAGGGCUUCGGAUCGGAAAACUCUGUUAUUAGGGAAGAACAAAUGUGUAAGUAACUAUGCACGUCUUGACGGUACCUAAUCAGAAAGCCACGGCUAACUACGUG